UACAGAGGUCUCAAGCGUUGUUCGGAUUCACUGGGCGUAAAGGGUGCGUAGGCGGCGCGGUAAGUCGGGUGUGAAAUCUUGGAGCUUAACUCCGAAACUGCAUUCGAUACUGCCGUGCUUGAGGACUGGAGAGGAGACUGGAAUUUACGGUGUAGCGGUGAAAUGCGUAGAUAUCGUAAGGAAGACCAGUGGCGAAGGCGGGUCUCUGGACAGUUCCUGACACUGAGGCACGAAGGCCAGGGGAGCAAACGGG
rnacentral:rRNA from 1 species